rnacentral:lncRNA from 1 species
UUUGAGUGUACAGUUCAAUGGUGUCAAGAACAUUUAUAACAAUGAAGCCAUCAUCACCCUCCAUCUCCAGAACUCUUUUCAUCUUGCAAAACUAAACUCUGUCCUCAUUCAUCACUAACUCCCCAUUUUGCCUCCCCUGAGCCCCUGCCACCCACUUUUCUACUUUUUGUCUCUGAAUUUGGCUACUUUUAGUAUUAGGUCGGUGCAAAAUCAAUUGUGGCUUUUGUCAUUAAUUGCAAAACUGCAAUUACUUUUGCAUCAAAAUAAUACCUCCUACAAGUGGAAUUAUAUAGUAUUUGUUUGAUGGCUGGCUUAUUUCAUUUAGCCUAAUAUCUUCAGGGUUCAUCCAUGUUGUAGCAUGUGUCAGAAUUUCCUUCCCUUAAGGCUGAAAAAUAUUCCAUUGCCUGGAUAGACCACAGUUUCUUUAUCCACUCAUCCACUGAUGGACACUUGGGAUGGACACAUGAGUAAUGCUGCUAUGAACAUGGGUAUGCAAAUGUCUCUUCAAGGGGUUACAGGCAUGAACAACCUCGCCCGGCCUUUUGCCCAAUUUUAAAUCAGGUUUUUUUUGUUGUUGUUGAGUUUUAGGAGUUCUGUCUAUAGUCUGCCUAUCAGAUUGCAAAUGACUUGCAAAUAUUUUGCCCACCUUUUAAAAAAGUCUUCAUCAGAAAAGUGCAAAACCUACAGCUAGGCUUAGACAACUUAUUAUUUUACCAUCUUCGAAGAGUUUCAUGUUGAAUGCUGAGAUUUUAGAAGUUGGGACAGGUAGC